rnacentral:tRNA from 1 species
UCCCUGAUAGUCCAAUGGUUAGGACUCUGCACUUCCACUGCAGAGAGCCUAGGUUUAUCCCUGGUUGGGGAA